UGCGGUAAUUUGACCGUGCAAAGGUAGCAUAAUCAGUAGUCUUUUAAUUGAAGGCUUGUAUGAAUGGUUGGAUGAAAGAGAAGCUGUCUCUUUUGCAAUUUAAAACUUGACUUUUAAGUGAAAAGGCUUAAAUUUAAUAAGGGGACGAUAAGACCCUAUAAAACUUUAUGCACGACAUGUCCUGUCUUUGAAUUAUAUCCAAAUAUUGGUUGGCUAAAAGUGCAUUCCGUUGGGGAGACGUUGAUAUAAGCUGUAACUGUCUUAUUAAAUAGAAUAAUUAUUAUUAUAAUUUGAUCCUUCUUUGUGGAUAAAAAGAAUAAGUUACUUUAGGGAUAACAGCGUAAUUUUCUCAGAGAGUUCUUAUCGAAGAGAAUAGUUGCGACCUCGAUGUUGAAUUAAAAUUUCAGUUAGGUGUAGCCGCUUAGCUAGUAGGUCUGUUCGAC
rnacentral:rRNA from 1 species